UGGACUGGUGCUGAUCUUCUGUUAAAAUUGCAGGCAUGCCGCCGAGGGUGAGGCUGACAGAUGCCGACAUUCGGCAACAUGCAGCGAGGAAGAGGCCGGCUACCGGGGCCGGGCCCUCGCGGCCUCCUAAGAGGCCUCAGACAGCAUCGCCGACCGACCCUGCGGCGACGGGAUCAUAGCCCGACUCCGAACGUGCGUCGGGCCAUGAGCCGAUUAUUGCACUGUCAGUGCCGACGAUGCCUUCCGAAGCACCGUUCGAGGAACGGACAGCCGAGGGAGCAGUCGAAGAUGUGCCGGCUGC
rnacentral:lncRNA from 1 species